rnacentral:rRNA from 1 species
GACCCGUCUUGAAACACGGACCAAGGAGUCUAACAUGUGCGCAAGUCAUGGGGUUGUAAACCCAAAGGCGUAAUGAAAGUAAAGGUCAAUUCGGUUGACCGAGGUGAGAUCCCCGCAAGGGGCGCAUCACUGUCCCAUCGCAUCUGCUUGUCAGAGCGGUGGAGAAAAAGCGUACACGCUGGGACCCGAAAGAUGGUGAACUAUGCCUGAGCAGGAUGAAGUCAUCGGAAACGGUGAUGGAGGUCCGUAGCGGUUCUGACGUGCAAAUCGAUCGUCAGACUUGGGUNUAGGGGCGAAAGACUAAUCGAACCAUCUAGUAGCUGGUUCCUUCCGA